CACGGGGGGAGCAAACGGUGUUCGGAAUCACGGGGCGUAAAGGGCGUGUAGGCGGUCAGGUAAGUGGGAUGUGAAAUGCCCCGGCUCACCCGGGGACCGGCAUCCCAAACUGCCUGGCUUGAGUAUGGGAGAGGAUGAGGGAAUUCCUGGUGUAGCGGUGAAAUGCGUAGAUAUCAGGAGGAACACCGGUGGCGAAGGCGUUCAUCUGGCCCAAUACUGACGCUGAGGCGCGAAAGCUAGGAGAGCAAACGGG
rnacentral:rRNA from 1 species